rnacentral:rRNA from 1 species
GACGAACGCUGGCGGCGUGCUUAACACAUGCAAGUCGAGCGGUAAGGCCCUUUCGGGGGUACGACGAGCGGCGAACGGGUGAGUAACACGUGGGUGACCUGCCCUCAGCUCUGGGAGUAAGCCUGGGAAACCGGGGUCGUAAUACCGGAUAUGACUCCAUGACGCAUGUUGUGGGGUGGAAAGCCUUGUGCGGCUGAGGAGUGGGCCCGCGGCCUAUCAGCUUGUUGGUGGGGUGAUGGCCUACCAAGGCGACGACGGGUAGCCGGCCUGAGAGGGCGACCGGCCACACU